UUUUUUAAAUCUUUCCAUCCAGGCAAAGUACUAUGAAGGCAUCACGGAUCUCGACAAGAGGCGCAACAUUCAGAGAAAUUCACAAUUCAGGGACCUAGGGGUUCUGCCCAAAACCCAGAUGUGGAUCCACCUGAUGUCCUCCACUACCUGUUCUCCAGGACCUAGGGGUUCUGCCCAAAACCCAGAUGUGGAUCCACCUGAUGUCCUCCACUACCUGUUCUCCAGGACCUAGGGGUUCUGCCCAAAACCCAGAUGUGGAUCCACCUGAUGUCCUCCAUUACCAACCCCCCCCCCCCCAAUUUUCAUUACAUCAUCUACAGCUGCUGUUAUUGUCAUGUUGUCAUUGUCUGUUCUAAGAACGUUUUCUUGCUCUAUCAUACUGGCCACAUGAUAUGUGAGAUGAACUAAAAACACUAGCACUGCAAACACUCAGAACAAAGCAGUGCCUGGACUUUACAGUCUCCGUCUUCAACUGGGUGGUAGGUAGCCUAGUGGUUAGAGCAUUGGAUUAGGUAACUGAAAGGUUGCAAGAUCAAAUCCCAGAGCUGAAAAGGUAAAAAAAAAAAAACAGUCUUUCUGUCCCUGAACAAGGCAUUUAACUCACUGUUUCUGGGCUGUCAUUGAAAAUAAGAAUUUGUUCUUGCCUGACUUGACUAGUUAAAUUUUUUUUUAAAGUUCCCCUUGUGAGACUGGUUGCCUGUUGAGAACAAGUGCCAAGCAGAACCGUCACUCACUAUAUUCCACACACCAGAAUUAGUAUUUUAGUCUAUGGUUGCCAUAAAUUAAAAUUAAAAUAAAUUAAUGACAUAAACUUUGAUAUUGUUUGGUAGUGUUAUGUUUUAAAAUCUUAAAUAGUGCCAGCUUCACAGUUGUUCAUUGUAGGUUGUAAGGUAUCCUUUGAUUGCAUUUAUUUGUUCCACAUUAUUCGCCACCAUGGCCUUUUUAUAUAUAUUUUUUAUUUAUUUAUAUAUAUAUAUCUUGUUUGCCUUCACCUCCCUUAUCUCACCUCACUUGCUCAUAUUGUAUAUAGACUUAUUUUCACUGUAUUAUUGACUGUAUGUUUGUUUUACUCCAUGUGUAACUAUGUGUUGUUGUAUGUGUCGAACUGCUUUGCUUUAUCUUGGCCAGGUCGCAAUUGUAAAUGAGAACGUGUUCUCAAUUUGCCUACCUGGUUAAAUAAAAAAAUAAAAAUAAA